GUGUUGUGUGAAAAGAGAGGUUUGCCGUCCCAUUAACAAGGAUGGAAGAGGCCCUGCAGCCUGAAAUAUGAAUGAACUGAAGGCAUAGCCACAUGGUUUGUGUCAAGAAACCACUGUUCUUUUUUU
rnacentral:ncRNA from 1 species